AUAGCUUCUCAGCCUUUUGGCUAAGAUCAAGUGUAGAUUUUGUACAGACAUUGAUUCAUUAUUAUAAAUUUCACAUCUGAAGCAUUCAGCCAGCGUUACAACCAACCUGGAUGGCCCAGAUAAUCAGUAGUUUGAUCUGACAGUACAAUUAAGUCAAUGGAUGGCUAC
rnacentral:snRNA from 1 species